GUUGAAGCCUGACCUGGAGAAUGUUGACCAUUAAUUUGCCAGCAUGUGAAAUGAGUGCAAUUGUGCAGUAGUUUGAACAUUAUUUGGCAUUGCCCUUCUUUGGGAUUGGAAUGAAAAUUUGCCUUUUCCAGUCCUAUGGCCACUGCUGAGUUUUCCAACU